rnacentral:lncRNA from 10 species
GCCUACUCUUGCCAAAUAUGUCAGGGAUCGUGUGUGUGUGUGUGUGUGUGUGUGUGUGUGUGUGUGUGUGUGUGUGUGUGUUCUGAGACACCACUACUGUUAAAUAGGCAGAGCUAAGACUUAGGGGACUGGCAGAUUAUUGCAAAAAGGGCACGGGGCAGAGGGACUAUGUUGUGAGCCUGCGAAAGAAGUUUGUGUGGGGACUGUGGGCAGUGAAUGCGUUGGGAACAAUAUGGAAAACUGGGAGCUGCCUUGGAAUCUACAGGGCCGGGACCCACUCGAGCCAUCCACACUUUCCCCAGCCUCCUCCAAAACAGCACACUUUCCGGCUGAAGAAAAGAAGAAUGGUAUUCAUGCAGUUCCCAUUUUACAGAUGAAAACAAGAGGACUUUUUCUGUGAAGUCAAGAAAGUGGUUACAAUGGUACUUUCAGCCUGUCCGAAUUAUGUAUUGCCCCUCCCCUUUUUAUUAAUAACAUUGAAGUGUGAUGGGACAACCACUGAAGCCGUCUGUUGAAACCUGCUGGGACUUUUUAGCCAUUCUCUUCAACAUAAAGAAUGGGUGUUUUUGGAGGGGGUGAGAGGAAUGGGGAAAUGUUGUCAAAGAGUACAAUGUUUUAGUUGAGACAGGAGGAAUAUAUUUUGUUGAGAUCUACAGCACAGCAUGGUGACUGUAGUUAACAAUGAAGUAUUGUGUAUUUCAAAAUUGCUAAGACAAUAAAUUUCAAAUGUUCUCACCACAAAAAAGAUAGGUUUUGAGGUGAUGAAUCUAUUAAUUCUCUGGAUUUAAUUAUUCCACAAUGUAUACAUAUAUCAUAACAUCACAUCAUACCUCCGUAAAUACAUACAAUUUUAAUUUGUCAAUUAACAUUUUUUUAAAAGAAUAGUG